GCUGCUUUUCUUCCCCCAGAGAGAAGUCGCCGACUCGUACGCGCAGAACGCCAAAGUGAUCGAAAAGCAGCUGGAGCGCAAGGGCAUGAGCAAAAGGCGGCUGCAGGAGCUGGCUGAACUGGAAGCCAAGAAAGCAAAGAUGAAGGGGACCUUGAUUGACAACCAGUUCAAGUGAUCAGGACCCUUCUCUCAACCCAGACCGGAGGCAGGCGUUUAGAGGAGGAGGAAAAAGAACCGUUUCUUGACUCCAUGGGCAGGUGGCCACGUUUUUGCCCCAGCAGAAGGCUUUCCAUUGCUUCCCAUCGAUUCCUCCUACUUUUGGUGAGGUCUUUGAGUCCAUCUGACCUGCUUUCUAGAGAUGGGCUUUCUAAAUCUUUUCUGUAUAUAGGUCUUCUGUACUAUUUUUUGUUCAUUUGAUGUAAACUUCUUCAGCUGUGUGGAAACUCUAUGAACACAUCAGUGCUCGAGUGUCUCUCAUUUCUAAAGUAGCUGUUCUUCUUCCCUCUUCAAAGUUAAUAAAAUGUUUAUAGAUUUUUGAAAAAAGUA